CAUCAAACCUCAGAUCCUACAUCCAUGGCACUUCUACUCUGGCCAAUAGACACACAUAUGAAAGCUGUAAUAUGGACGCUGAGUAUACCAACAGCAAAAUCAGGCGUAAGCUCCCGAGAGCUUAGUUACAGAGACAGAACUUGAAUGCAUGCAGUAAGGAGAAGAAAGGAACUUGUUCUGCUUUAAGGCAUCCUAAUUGCAAGUCCUGCUUAGAACACAUGGACAGAGCCAGGAGCCAAGAGAAGAACAAAGGACAGUUGCUCCAAGUGUUCCUUCCCAAGCUGAUCAAGGCUCUUGGGUUCAAUGGAGAGAUUCAACAGUGUAAAGCACGGACUGGAGAAGGCACAGCAUGCAGUGAAUGUCUUAUCUUAGGCAAGCCCUGGGCACGAGAAAAGAAAGGUUGCCUGGAGCCAUUUUAGAAGAAACUAAAAUAGAAGCUGAGAGAUACAGAUACAAUGGAUCAAUGAAAAUUAGGGGGAGAUCUACCUCUCUGGGCUUCCCUGCCCAAUGCCUUCCUAAGACUUAAAACUGCUGAGGGACAUGAAGGUUUUUCUUUCCCUACCAUAACCCCAUAAAUAUAUGAAGGUAAUAUGUACCAUUAUCCCAAGAGCA